rnacentral:rRNA from 1 species
CACGUAGGGCGCAAGCGUUGUUCGGAUUCAUUGGGCGUAAAGGGUGCGUAGGUGGCGUGGUAAGUCGGGCGUGAAAUCUCCGGGCUCAACCCGGAAAUGGCAUUGGAAACUACCUUGCUGGAGGAUUUGAGGGGGGAUUGGAAUACUUGGUGUAGCAGUGAAAUGCGUAGAUAUCAAGUGGAACACCAGUGGCGAAGGCGAAUCCCUGGAAAAUACCUGACACUGAGGCACGAAAGCUAGGGGAGCAAACAGG